GCAAAUAGUUUAACCUUUUUAGAGGUGGAAAGCAUCUUGGAAGACUCGGGAAAUUCAACUUUUGCUGUGGGUAACUCUGCAUUGGCCUGUAACAGAGGUUGAUAUUGUUGAACUUGCAACUACUAUUGAAAAGAUUGAAGGCCUUAUUGUACUUGUUGAAAGUUUUUCCUUUACAGAUUUAAAAUAUUAAGAUCAAGAAAAAAUGGAUCGAAAAUGGAUGUCUGCUAGUCGAUUGUCAAAAGAAUAUGAAGAUGGGGUGAAAGAGUUUCGUAGAUUUGCAGUUGAGCAUGCAAAAGAUCCUAGUAGAAUUAUUUGCCCUUGCUUGAAGUGCUGUCAUUCAAAGGUAGUUA